rnacentral:rRNA from 1 species
UACGUAGGGGGCAAGCGUUGUCCGGAUUUAUUGGGCGUAAAGAGCGUGUAGGCGGCUUGGUAGGUCUCGCGUCAAAACCUGAGGCUCAACCUCAGUUCGCGUGGGAAACCACCUAGCUAGAGUCCGGAAGAGGAGAACGGAAUUCCUGGUGUAGCGGUGAAAUGCGCAGAUAUCAGGAGGAACACCCGUGGCGAAAGCGGCUCUCUGGGACGGUACUGACGCUGAGACGCGAAAGCGUGGGGAGCAAACAGG